AUUGAACGCUGGCGGCAGGCUUAACACAUGCAAGUCGAGCGGGGGAGGUUGCUUCGGUAACUGACCUAGCGGCGGACGGGUGAGUAAUGCUUAGGAAUCUGCCUAUUAGUGGGGGACAACAUUCCGAAAGGAAUGCUAAUACCGCAUACGCCCUACGGGGGAAAGCAGGGGAUCUUCGGACCUUGCGCUAAUAGAUGAGCCUAAGUCGGAUUAGCUAGUGGGUGGGGUAAAGGCCUACCAAGGCGACGAUCUGUAGCGGGUCUGAGAGGAUGAGCCGCCACACUGGGACUGAGACCCGGCCCAGACUCCUACGGGAGGCAGCAGUGGGGAAUAUUGGACAAUGGGCGGAAGCCUGAUCCAGCCAUGCCGCGUGUGUGAAGAAGGCCUUUUGGUUGUAAAGCACUUUAAGCGAGGAGGAGGCUCUUAAGGUUAAUACCCUUGAUGAGUGGACGUUACUCGCAGAAUAAGCACCGGCUAACUCUGUGCCAGCCGCCGCAGUAAAAC
rnacentral:rRNA from 1 species